rnacentral:rRNA from 1 species
AUUGAACGCUGGCGGCAUGCCUUACACAUGCAAGUCGAACGGCAGCGCGGGGCAACCUGGCGGCGAGUGGCGAACGGGUGAGUAAUAUAUCGGAACAUACCCUAGAGUGGGGGAUAACGUAGCGAAAGUUACGCUAAUACCGCAUACGCACUAAGGUGGAAAGUGGGGGAUUCGCAAGAACCUCAUGCUCAUGGAGUGGCCGAUAUCUGAUUAGCUAGUUGGUGAGGUAAAGGCUCACCAAGGCAACGAUCAGUAGCUGGUUUGAGAGAACGACCAGCCACACUGGAACUGAGACACGGUCCAGACUCCUACGGGAGGCAGCAGUGGGGAAUAUUGGACAAUGGGGGGCAACCCUGAUCCAGCAAUGCCGCGUGAGUGAUGAAGGCCUUAGGGUUGUAAAGGCUCUUUUGCCAGGGAAGAUGAUGACUGUACCUGGAGAAUAAGCCCCGGCUAACUUCGUGCCAGCAG